UUAAGAGCUCAGGGACCGGCUGGUGUUGGAAGGCUGAACGGUGAAUGUGAACGGGUCCUUGGAGUGUUGUGGUCUAGUGAGGGCCCUGCUGUCUUCACCGGUGUCUCUGUCAGGUCUGACCGGUGUCCCUGUCAGGUCUGACCGGUGUCCCUGUCAGGUCUUACCGUUGUCUCUGUCAGGUCUGACCGGUGUCUCUGUCAGGUCUGACCGGUGUCCCUGUCAGGUCUCACCGGUGUCCCUGUCAGGUCUGACCGGUGUCUCUGUCUUCACCGGUGUCCCGGUCAGGUCUAACCGGUGUCCCUGUCAGGUCUAACCGGUGUCUCUGUCAGGCCACCGGUGUCUCUGUCAGGUCUUCGCGGUGUCUCUGUCUUCACCUGUGUCUCUCCCAGGUCUACUAGUCAUACGUUUGUCUCACCUGCGAUGUAUUGAGUUAUCCGAAGU